UACGGAGGGGGCAAGCGUUAUUCGGAAUUAUUGGGCGUAAAGGGCGCGUAGGCGGCCAACUAAGUCAGACGUGAAAUCCCUCGGCUUAACCGGGGAACUGCGUCUGAUACUGGAUGGCUUGAAUCCGGGAGAGGGAUGCGGAAUUCCAGGUGUAGCGGUGAAAUGCGUAGAUAUCUGGAGGAACACCGGUGGCGAAGGCGGCAUCCUGGACCGGCAUUGACGCUGAGGAGCGAAAGCCAGGGGAGCAAACGGG
rnacentral:rRNA from 1 species